ACACACCUGGAGACAAUGUGGAGCUGCCAAUUAACCCACGCCGGAGCAGGGAGCGCAUGCAAACUCCGCACAGAAGGGCUUAGACCCGACUUCAAACCUGGAACCCUCUGUGAGGCGACAGCGCUAACCACCGCAUCACCCUGCCCUCCUUAAAGGUAUGCAAAGUAAAGAUGGGCUGAUGGAGCGGACCACAGAAGGGGUUUUUCUCAUUUGACGGCAUUGAACUAAAGUGACAGCCAAUAAGGAGCUAAUCUACUUCAUGAAAAUGUAAUUACGUGAUGAAUGGUGCAAUGUAUAGACUCUGGCAAAAUAAUAUAGCACUCCCACCUGUGAAAAUACUAGCUGAAAUAAUUGUUUAUGUUGGGGUGGGGGUCGAGAGGGCUACUUUAUUUAUAUAAUGCAGGCAGGGUUGUGUUGGUAUUUUAAGUAGGAUAUCCAUAAACAUCUGCCCUUAAACACACACACACUAGAGGGUACUGCUGCAUAUAAUGUGUGUAUUCUGCAAAGAUACGGUUUCUACUGCACAUUUUAAGAGUGAAAAAGGAUGUUUUCCAGUGUGUUACGUUAAAAAAAACAAACAGUGCCAAGCUUGAUAAUAAAGUUGCAGACUUCA